AUAAACUGUUGUGUAUAUUAAAUGUUUUUGUUUCUUUGUUACAGAUGAGUUAACAACUAAACCUUGUGAAAUUAACAACUGGAGCAUGGAAACACUGCCGUUACAGGCCAGGGCAGCAAGCACAGAGCAGUCCAGGGGAGCAGCC